GGAUGACCAGGUUGAGGGCUUUUGCAAGCUCUGGUGCAUGGCCUUCUGGAGGCAACAGACCAGCACCACGGCAGCGGAAGUGGUAUGACCUCUACCAGAAGAUUGAGAAAUGCCCCCUGCAAGCUCAUGGACAGACCACCCUCUUUGGUGGGUCCAAGGCAUGCAGUUGUGGAUUCCACACCACCAAGCCUGCCACUGCUACUUUAUCACAGGCCACUGCUGCACCUCCACAAUCUGAGGCUUCAGACACGGCUCCUGCCCCACGGUCAUUCCUGAGGCCCUCUUCUACUUUAUCAAUG